rnacentral:misc_RNA from 1 species
UCUCCGUAGGUGAACCUGCGGAGGGAUCAUUACAGAGUUCAUGCCCUACCGGGUAGAUCUCCCACCCUAUGUUAUUAUUACUUUGUUGCUUUGGCGGGCCGUUAGGCUCCGGCCCGACUACCGGCCCCGGCUGGUAAGCGCCGCCAGAGGACCCAAAACCCUGAACAUUAGUGUCGUCUGAGUACUAUAUAAUAGUUAAAACUUUCAACAACGGAUCUCUUGGUUCUG